GUGAGGAAUAUUGCGCAAUGGAGGCAACUCUGACGCAGCCAUGCCGCGUGCAGGAAGAAGGCGCUACGCGUUGUAAACUGCUUUUAACCGGGAAGAAACCCCAGGACGUGUCCUGGGUUGACGGUACCGGAGGAAUAAGCACCGGCUAACUUCGCGUCAGCAGCCGCGGUAAUACGAAGGGUGCAAGCGUUAUCCGGAUUCAUUGGGUUUAAAGGGUGCGUAGGCGGAGCGUUAAGUCAGUGGUGAAAUCCUGCAGCUUAACUGUAGACUUGCCAUUGAUACUGGCGCUCUUGAGUGCGCUUGAAGUGGGCGGAAUGUGCCGUGUAGCGGUGAAAUGCUUAGAUAUGGCACAGAACACCAAUUGCGAAGGCAGCUCACUAAGGCGAUACUGACGCUGAGGCACGAAAGCGUGGGGAUCGAACAGGAUUAGAAACCCCAGUAGUCC
rnacentral:rRNA from 1 species